rnacentral:snRNA from 1 species
GUGCUCACUUCAGCAGCACAUAUACUAAAACUGAAACGAUACAGAGAAGAUUAGCAUGGCCCCUCACAUGGAUGACAUGCAAAUUCGUGAAGCGUCCCAUAUUUUU